rnacentral:lncRNA from 1 species
AAAAAAUUAAAUUCAUGAUAAAUAUAAAUUAUUUACAUACAUAUGUGGAAAAUAUUCUAAUCAAAUGUAUAGUACAACUUAUUUUUCAUUUGGUUUUAUUAAUUUUUUUUUCAAAUAUAACUCAUUAAUAAUAAUAUGAACAAUUACAAAUAUUCAUAUAGAUCAGACAUAUAACUUUACUACCAGUAGCUAAUAGAAUUCGCUGAUCUUUUAACGAAACAAAAGAAUUUAUAUCAUUUUGAAUAAUGAAACUAAAACUAAAAAAAAAAAAUAUAAUAUUAGAUAUUUCCGCUUGGAGUUGAUCUUAACAAAAGAUAUAAAUAUUAUUAGCAACAACUAAAAAUAAUAAGUUCUCGGACCUUCUAUACCUUGAUUGUUUUUUCAAGAAUUUGCAAUAUAUGAUGAACACAUAUGAGUUUCUACCACUAUGCAUCAAUAGCAUGAAUGGAAGAAUAUAGCGUAUAAUCAGAUUCCAUUGAUCGAAGAUUCACACGUGCAAAUCACAAUCUAAAUUUUUCAACCAAAUAAAGUCAAAUAUCAUAUUUUGAUUUAGUAAUAAUCCUGAUAAAGAAUGGAUAACCCUUAUAAAUAAGUGACAAACAAACUCUAAAUAUGGAGACAAAGCAACAACAACAAAAACAAAUAAAAAAGACAGAUCUGUUAUAAGAAAAAUAGAUCUAAGUUCAUUAAAGCAAACAGAAGAUGAAAAAAAAGAAGGUAACCAAAAUAAGAGUAGACAGUGGUAGCCUCAAGCUAAAAUUAGGAUUAAAAGACUAGAAAUAAAAUAGAGCAACUAGGUUUUUAGAAUCUCCAGUUUUUCACUUGGUUUUAGUAAUUAAGUAUUGAAUAAUCUGAAAGAACAAUUUUUAAAAAUUUAAAACUAUUUAACAGUCUAUUGACUUAUUAGUAUAAGAUUUUAAGUUAAAAUUUUAAUUUUAUUAUUCUAAUUAAGUGAAGUUUAACUUAAUUGAGAUCUUUAAAUGAUAAAUGUAUAAAUAAGUAUUUUAGAAUAAUUUAAAAACAAAUACCUACUAAAAUUGUUAUCAAAUACCACUUUCAAUAAGAUAUUGAAUUGGAUAUAGUGUGAAGUAAUCAAAAAUACGUUACAUUCUCUUAUAUUGCAAUCAAAUUUUUACAUAUAGGAAACACAGAAUGAUAUGGUGAAAUUCAAAUUUAAAAAAUAAUGGUUUGAAAAUUUACUUCCUACUUUCUAUUUACUUCUUUCACGACUUUGGUCACACUACCUUAUGAUACAUAUUUCCACAGCAUUUAUAACCAGCAAGAUGGAUUCCCUGCCCAUGAAGGAGCUUGGAAAUUAGCUCUAUUAAUUUUGCUUGCAUGGUUAAUGGUUUUCAAUUCAAAAUCAAAUAAUUGGAAUGGAGCCAAUGUAGGGAAAAAGAAGAAAACAAAAAGAUAAAAGAUGUAGUAAAAAAGAAAUAAAUAUAUAGCGUAGCUUUUACUUAGACACACACAGAGCUUGGAGAUGAAGUUUGUUCUUCUUCUUCUUUCUUUUCCAAUUCCCUCUAAUGGGUUUUCAAAUUAGCAGUCAACAUCAAACCAAACGACUCACUUGGGUGCCGUUGGAAGGAUCCUUUCUUUACUCAUUACAUACAAAGUAAAAACAUUGUUUCAGUUGGAGCAACCGACCGGCAAAAUUAUCAAAACCAGAUUUAUGUAAUGUUUGAAAAAAAGAAAGAAAGAAAAGAAUUAUAAAAAGACUUGCAAGGAAAGCUAAGAUCUAGCAGUAAGGAUUGUCUUUGUAAUUGUACAGAUUGUAAGAAGAGAGAGUGUGUGUUAG